AUGUAGGACAACUUCAUUCUCGCGUAGUACGUCUUAAUCUCCAGUAGCUGUGCAACAGUAACUGUAAUAUUGGUAAUAAAUAGUUAACAUAGGGAUAAAUAUUAUGCUACUGCGGCAGUGUGCUUCCUGGAUUCCGGCAAAUAUAAACCAUGAGGAUCUACUGCAAGACUAGUAACUGCAUCCAAAUGAGCAACCAUAGCAUGAGCAAGGGUAGCUGAUCGAUGAUCGUAAAAUCGAAUAUGUCGAUCUUCAUGUGCUGCAACAACAAGUGGUAAUGUAGGAUGCGCCACAACACGAUUUACUCCUUUUGUUUCGUUGGCCUCAAGACGA